rnacentral:rRNA from 1 species
GACGAACCGUCCUAACGUUGUUCGGAAUCACUGGGCUUAAAGGGCGCGUAGGCGGCUUGCCAAGUCAGGGGUGAAAUCCUGCAGCUUAACUGUAGAAGGGCCUUUGAUACUGGCGAGCUCGAGGGAGGUAGGGGUAUGUGGAACUUCCGGUGGAGCGGUGAAAUGCGUUGAUAUCGGAAGGAACGCCGGUGGCGAAAGCGACGUACUGGACCUCUUCUGACGCUGAGGCGCGAAAGCCAGGGGAGGCAAACGGG